ACCACUAAGGAUGUGGUGAUCUUCAGGAUGAAGGUUUUAAGUUCGCACGGAGUGAUGAACUUAGCAUGGAGCAAGGACUGUAGAAGGAUCUCACUGCGCUAAAGGUAUAGCGUAGGCACGGAAUGCAUAGGACAUCUCUAGGAUAGAGAAAGGACAGCAUUAGGAUGAUGCAAGGGACACCGCUCAGGGAUCAAGUGAAGUGCGCUAACGGGGAUUGGUUAGCUAAUAGGAAUUAAAGGACACCGCUAGGACAGCGAUGAACGGAUAUUACUGAAGGAUUCAGUAGCUAUUAAGGAUGAUGCAUGGAGCACCUAUAGUGGCUGGAUUGCUACGAGUGAGACUAUAGCCCCGAUACUCACGUGUCGGGGCUUUUCUUAUUA
rnacentral:other from 1 species